GCGAAAAUAGCUCAGCUGGUAGAGCGCCACCUUGCCAAGGUGGAGGUCGCGGGUUCGAACCCCGUUUUUCGCUCUA
rnacentral:tRNA from 1 species